AGGUUUUAAAACGUGGUAAGAUGGACAGUUUUUGCAGUGCACAUCCUGAGUUUUUGUGAUUUGAAAGAUUCUUGUUGGUCUGCAUUAAAUUCAACAGACAAAUAAAUAGUCUGUGAUGGUUAACRCUGGCUCCGCCCACCUCACGCCACCUAAUUGUUGCUGAUGUUUGGGUGUAGAGAGCAGCAGAGCCACGGAGCCAUUAAGUGAGCAGGCAGGGCCUGAUUGGCUCCGGACCAUCCCCCUGAAAUAGCAGGAUUGGCUGCCGGCCAAGCGCCCAUUUCCUGUGCGUCUGAGAGGAGCUGCAGCCACCGGGGCUCAAAUGCAUUUCCUGACUGAGGAUAAAAGUUUUAUUAAUGACCAGGAGUGCAUCAGCAGCAAGGCCUGCUCCACRAACUCAUUCGCUCAUUCAUGAGCUCAUCAAGAGGAGAGGAGAGGAGCAGGGAGUGGAUCAGAGUCCAGCUUUAAGAAAACAAACCAGAACUCUUCUGCUCUUUGUUCUGUUGGGUUCAAUGAGACUUUCCAGGUUUAUAAGUUCUGAUCCAGGACUCUGAGGUCCUGCAGGGAUCAGGUUCCAGCAGCAGGAAGCUGAGCUCAGCCACAGGAAAACCUGAAUGGAAAGCUUGAAACGCACAGAGGAGAUAAUCACAUCAGGAAGAUGAAAGAUGAGAGCUGUCAACACUUCCUGUCAGGGCGGGGCCAACAGGAAGACAUCCUGUCCGUCACUGAGCUGGAGCUAAGACCUGAGCCUGAACCUGAACCUGGACCUGAUGUUCUGUCCUGCAUCUGGGUUCAAAACACCUGAGUCUGGACCUGAGCCUGGACCUGGACCUGGACCUGGACCUGAUCCAUUCUGGGAGGACUCCACAGUGCAACCAGACCAGCUGAGAGACUGCAGAGUGUCCUGCGUCCUCUCAGUAGGACAUGAAGCCCCUCCCAGAGUCCAGGGUCCACCCUCACCAGAUGAACCUCCUCAGCUGGUUCCUCUGGAUGUGGACCAGAGAACUGAACCGAGUCCAGAUACCCUGCAGAGGAGACUCCUGUGGACAUCCUGGGUCUGGGAUCUGGUCCUUUCCCUACAUUUAAUGUGUCGAUCACAUCGUGYCACAACACUGUUGAUGUUUGACGUCUGACUUCCUGUCCAGCUGUGGUUCUGGUCACAUGACGCAUGCAGCAAACACACAACGACACUAAGCAUGAACACACACUCACACACACACGUGCAGAGUGAAGCGCCGGCAGAAAUAAAUGACUUUGUCAGCUGGGAUCUGUUAAUCAGGCCGUUUGUCAUUGAUCCCUGCCUGACCCAGAACAUCUCUGCUCACUUUGUUCACUGUGUGUCGUUUUUAUUGUUGUGUUUCAUCACCAGASACUGCGACAACAUGUUACACUUCUACACAACUUUCACUGAGGUACAGAUAGAAAUAUCAGACGGGUGAGAAUCUAAACGUUUCUGCAGAUUUCUCUUCUGAAUCCAGAAAGUUUGUUGUUUUAAAAUCGACACAAUAAAAGUGUGAAAAGUGUCGUUAGGAA